rnacentral:piRNA from 1 species
UCCAAUCCUGUCACCUCAGCGUCAGCCAC